rnacentral:rRNA from 1 species
GACGAACGCUGGCGGCGUGCCUAAUACAUGCAAGUCGAACGCAGUGGGGACGGGUGAGUAACCCGUGGGUAACCUCCCAUCAGAGGGGAUAACACUUCGAAACAGGUGCUAAACCCAUACGGAUGGAUGGACCCGCGGGGCAUUAGCUAGUUGGUGAGGUAACGGCUCACCAAGGCGACGAUCCAUAGCCGACCUGAGAGGGUGAUCGGCCACACUGGGACUGAGACACGGUCCAGACUCCUACGGGAGGCAGCAGUAGGGAAUAUUCGGCAAUGGACGAAAGCCUGACAGAGCAACGCCGCGUGAGUGAAGAAGGUUUUCGGGUCGUAAAGCACUGUUGUUAGAGAAGCGGUAUCUAAACAGAAAGCCCCGGCUAACUACGUGCCAGCAGCCGCGGUAAUUC